rnacentral:rRNA from 1 species
AGUGAACGCUGGCGGUAUGCCUAACACAUGCAAGUCGAACGGCAGCACAGUAAGAGCUUGCUCUUACGGGUGUCGAGUGGCGGACGGUGGAGGAAGACAUCGGAAUCUACUUUUUCGGGGGGGAUAACGUAGGGAAACGUACGCUGAUACCGCAUACAACCUACGGGUGAAAGCAGGGGAUCGUCGGACCUUGCGCGAGUGAAUGAGCCGAUGUCGGAUUAGCUCGUUGGCGGGGUAAAGGCCCACCAAGGCGACAAUCCGUAGCUGGUAUGAGAGGAUGAUUCGCCACACUGGCACUGAGACACGGUCCAGACUCCUAGGGGAGGACGCAGUGGGGAAUAUUGGAGAAGGGGGGAAAGCGUGAUACAGCCAUACCGCGGGGGUGAAGAAGGACUUCGGGUUGUAAAGCCAUUUUGUUGGGAAAGAAAAGAAGCAGGUUAAUACCCCGCUGUUAUGACGGUACCCAAAGAAUAAGCACCGGCUAACUCCGUG